CCCACGCAGCGGCUUCUCCAGGGCGCACUGGGAACGCGGACGGCUCAGAGGAGCAAAACGAGGAGAUCUCGGCGUCACAAAACCCGAAUUCAAGUUCU